rnacentral:rRNA from 1 species
GAUGAACGCUGGCGGCGUGCCUAAUACAUGCAAGUCGAGCGAACAGACGAGGAGCCUGCUCCUCUGACGUUAGCGGCGGACGGGUGAGUAACACGUGGAUAACCUACCUAUAAGACUGGGAUAACUUCGGGAAACCGGAGCUAAUACCGGAUAAUAUAUUGAACCGCAUGGUUCAAUAGUGAAAGACGGUUUUGCUGCCACUUAUAGAUGGAUCCGCGCCGCAUUAGCUAGUUGGUAAGGUAACGGCUUACCAAGGCAACGAUGCGUAGCCGACCUGAGAGGGGGAGCGGCCACCAUGGAAACUGAACACGGGCCAAAGACCUAAGGGGGGGAGGAAGGGGGAAAUUUCCCCAAAGGGGGCAAACCCUACCGGGACAACCCGCGGGGGGUGAGAAGGUGUUGCGGAUGGAAAAACUUUUUUUUUGGGAAAAAAAAAAUGUGAAAGUAACGAAGCCCGUCUGGAGGGGACCUAAGAAAAAAGCCCGGGCAAACUAGGG